GUUACGGACUACGGUAAAAUUUAAAUGUCCGUCACAUCGGCCCACAAAAGUACCUCCAAUAGAUUACCGUUCUGACUUAUCACUAAGAUAGUAAUAAUUGUUAUCAAAUGAAUAACAACACAAUAUUAUUUUAUUGUUCGCCGACUUUUUAAUUGAAUCAUUCGGACCAUUCGGUUAUGUAUUUGAAAUUUGAACAGAAAUACAGACCACAUUCGUACAGAGUUGUAUUCAUACGUUUUGGUUAACAAUUACCAUGCAUAAGUGUAUUCUUUUUAGUGAGAAAUCCAAAGUAUCGCCUCGCCACAUAACACAUUACGUUAAUUUUAAUUUAUUUCCAAAAAAUGAAAAUAGAAGGAAAUAGUGGCUAAACAUCAUCGAAUUAUCCCAAUUUCCAUCCGGAGUAAGAAUCUGCGGUAAUCGUUUCAUAAUCAGUGAUUAUAAACAAGGCUCAGUAUAUAGUGGACAGAGGAUGUCACAAAACUUAAUCCAAACCACUUGUCUGGGAUAGAGAAGUAAAAUAAACAAUAUAAAAUACUACUCCGAGCACGACUAAUAAUCAUCUAAGAGGUAAAACCUUUUAAUAUAAAUCAUGAAUUAGAUAUUCAGAUAUUUUUACAACUUGACAUUUUCAAUAAAUUAUAUUUCUCGAACGAUGAGUUUGAAGAAAAUGAACAGACAAAUAAAAUAUUUGGAGACGUUACAGUUGAUGAUUUUAAUUCACCCAGAAAAGCCUGAGAAACUUAAUAAUGUCUAAUUCACACACACUUAUUUCAUAUAGUGGAUUAUACUUAUUAUGGUUUUCAAAACUAAAUAUAUGAUGUACUAGAUACAAGGAACAAGGAAGUCGAGCCAAUGUGUUGACUUUCUUGAAGAUAAUUCUGGUGGCUCAGAUGAAGCCAUACAAUAUUGGAGCGAUGUAUGAAACUUAAAGGCAAUACAAUUUUGCUGAGCAAGAAUCCAAUUUCAAUAACGCAGAGAGCCUCAACAUAUUUAAAUUGCGAAGUAACACAUAACUAGUUUGGACUGUGAAGGAAAGUGAAUCUAGUUGGAUGACAGAGUUUACACACAUAUUUUGCCUGUGUCUUAUUCUAAACAAUUGGAUCAAAAGCAACCUCCAGCUGUUAUCACACAAAUCAUUUGUGAAGUUCUAACUAUUGUACAAGAUUUUUUUUGACAAACGCUUCAUCUGUCAGAAUGGUCGGCAAAAGCUGUGAAAAGAUACAUAUUGAAGAUUUUGCUGAUGGGCUGUUAAAAGAAUCGGGGUUCCUACAGUUUACUGGUCGUCAAACCCAUCCAUUCAUGGAACUUACUUCUCAACAAGGAAAGACAAACUUCUUCGAAAGAAGACUAAGCAAACACCAAUUAUCUUCGGUUGCACUCUGAAUCAUGCGUGUGAAUAAAAUUAUUUGUCAAAGAUAAAAAGCAUAUUGUAUUUUAUGAAUCAUUAACCCUAGAGCACACGCUUCACGGUCAAAAAGACUGGGCUUUUAGAAUUUUGUUCAUUGUUUCCAAAAUACGAAAUAUUAACCUAAUCCAACCUAGGUACCUUCUAAUUAGGUGAUAAACUAAAAUUAGAUACAACUACUAACUGUAUACGAUCUGAUGUUGGUAAUAUAGAAGUGUUCAAAGUUCAUUACCAGACAUUACGUAUUAAUAAACAGUCAAAAAGACCGUGUGCGUGAUCGUAAAAAAUCAACUAUGGGUUAUUUUUAAACUUUAACUGUGUUUCUAAUAAUUGCUGCUCGAUAAACGAAAUUGAUAGUUAUUAUAUUUUUAUUGCGACUUGUUAGUUGACUAUGAUUUGCGCGAUACUGUGUGUGACAAAAAGACCGUGUGCUUGUAUUCUCCCUAGAUCUAUGGUUAAAUAAAAAUGUGAUUAGUAGAUUUUAGAGUUAACAUAAAGGUACACAGUAAAUGCAUCAAAUGUAUACAGUAGGUAUGUCAAUAUCAACUAUACUACCAACGAGAUUUGUAAAAUUCCAAGUAUAUCAGCUUCUCCGAAUGCUGCUGAGUACGAAAUUAAUAAUAAUGAUUUGAUAUGUUAAUUUUAAAUGUACCUAUUGGAUAUAUUUUAGAUUUUAGUUUAUGAGAAGAUCGAUGACUGUAUUAACUAUGCAAUGAUGUGUUCUUUCAUUUUUUAAUUUUUUAAUUUAUUUUUUCUUAUGGUCUGUGUAAAUGAUAAGUAUUCGUAAUAAAGGUUCAAUUUUCAUAUAUAAUAUUUUAUUAUAGGCACUCAGUAUGUAAUCAUAUGUUUAUUUUUAGUUUAGUUGUAGGUAUUUAGUAAAUAAU